CGAGGUGCUGCUAGCGGGCCGUCUACGCUAACGAGGUCGAGAGUGACGAGGUCAUCCUGGUCGAGUCCACCGUUGAAAGAACCACCACCAUCGCCACCACCACCACCAUCACAGCAGCUCCUCGGUUCGGGGUGAGGAACAUGAGGAUCGAUGAAGAAACCACCUACAGCCUGAGGGUGUCAUGGCAGCCGCUGGACUCCAGGAACCUCCGACAUUAUCGACUCAGCUACAUCAGCGCCAAGGGCGACCGGGCGGAGGAGACGGUGAGAAGAUCCAAGCCUCU